rnacentral:rRNA from 1 species
UACGGGGGGGGCAAGCGUUGUUCGGAAUUACUGGGCGUAAAGGGCCAGUAGGCGGCCAACUAAGUCCGACGUGAAAUCCCAAGGCUUAACCUUGGAACUGCGUCGGAUACUGGAUGGCUUGAAUUCGGGAGAGGGAUGCAGAAUUCCAGGUGUAGCGGUGAAAUGCGUAGAUAUCUGGAGGAAUACCGGUGGCGAAGGCGGCAUCCUGGACCGACAUUGACGCUGAGGAGCGAAAGCUAGGGGAGCAAACGGG